GAUGAACGCUGGCGGCGUGCCUAAUACAUGCAAGUCGAGCGAACAGAUGAGGAGCUUGCUCCUCUGACGUUAGCGGCGGACGGGUGAGUAACACGUGGAUAACCUACCUAUAAGACUGGGAUAACUUCGGGAAACCGGAGCUAAUACCGGAUAAUAUAUUGAACCGCAUGGUUCAAUAGUGAAAGACGGUUUUGCUGUCACUUAUAGAUGGAUCCGCGCCGCAUUAGCUAGUUGGUAAGGUAACGGCUUACCAAGGCGACGAUGCGUAGCCGACCUGAGAGGGUGAUCAGCCACACUGGAACUGAGACACGGUCCAGACUCCUACGGGAGGCAGCAGUAGGGAAUCUUCCGCAACGGGCGAAAGCCUGACGGAGCAACGCCGCGUGAGUGAUGAAGGUCUUCGGAUCGUAAAACUCUGUUAUUAGGGAAGAACAAAUGUGUAAGUAACUAUGCACGUCUUGACGGUACCUAAUCAGAAAGCCACGGCUAACUACGUG
rnacentral:rRNA from 1 species